CUCCCGUUCCAUUUCGUUGCAAGCCUAAGCCGCCGCCGUGGUCUAGGGUCCCAACAAUGGCACACGACGCCAUCGCCAAAGCCAAGUAGGCUUUCUAUCUCUUGCCGUCUUCUUGAGGCAAACCCAUGACAGCCCCCAAACCGAGAUUCCUUUUUAGAGGCGGUGUAUCAAACUCUUUCUCCGACCGCGUCGAUCGAAAGGGAUGAUGGUACUACCGUUGCUGAGUGUUCAAGGAGGCCAACACAAACGAUCGUGGGUCGGAUUCGACCGCAAAGAGCACGCUCAAGGCCCUUGAGAGCGCAACUCACUGGUGGCUAAGGCCAACACUUCAGGCUGAGUUUUCUAUUUGCUGACCUAAAACUACGACAACAGGGAGGUUUGCACCUCGUGGAAGGAUGGCGGCGGUGAGGCUCUGAGUUCAUGUUAUUGCUCUUCAAUCUACCAGAUCCAUCGUUGAUGCUCUCUGGGCAGCGAGGUUCCUGAAGCACUGUCUUGGUAGAAUGACGCCAUUCACAGACACCGGUGGUGAAAGCAGAAUGGGUAGGGUGCCCAGAGUAUUUGGGAAACCCAAACCUUGUCGGGUGCCAAAGUUGAAUCGGGUGUCCAACUUAAUCUGGAGGCCCGAAUUAGUUGGGGAGCCCCAAAUGUUCUUAGUGUUCAUUAUAACUCUGAAUUGGAUUUAGGCCCAGGUGUGGACUAGGCUAACAGGUCUAGGGUCUCUAGGAUUUCAGAUUUGGGAUUUAGGAGGAAGGGCUCAACCAAGCCUUCUAACCCUAGCUUGGAAGGGAAAGCUUUAGUAUGUUAAGUGAAUUAUGCCUAUAUACUAUGUCCUAGAUUUUUCAUAGUUAUACGCUUGCUCUAAAUAAGUGCGCG
rnacentral:lncRNA from 1 species